CUGCAUGGUUGUCGUCAGCUCGUGCCGUGAGGUGUCGGCUUAAGUGCCAUAACGAGCGCAACCUCAUCAUUAGUUACCAUCAGGUAAGGCUGGGGACUCUAAUGAGACUGCCAUCGUAAGAUGUGAGGAAGGUGGGGAUGACGUCAAAUCAGCACGGCCCUUACGUCCGGGGCGACACACGUGUUACAAUGGGUGGUACAAAGGGCAGCUACCUGGCGACAGGAUGCUAAUCUCCAAAACCACUCUCAGUUCGGAUCGGAGUCUGCAACUCGACUCCGUGAAGCUGGAUUCGCUAGUAAUCGCGCAUCAGCCACGGCGCGGUGAAUACGUUCCCGGGCCUU
rnacentral:rRNA from 1 species